AUUAAACUGAAGAGUUUGAUCCUGGCUCAGAUUGAACGCUGGCUGCAUGCUUAACACAUGCAAGUCGAACGGUAACAUUGGUGCUUGCACCAGAUGACGAGUGGCGGACGGGUGAGUAAUACAUAGGAAUCUGCCCAGUAGUGGGGGACAACUAGAAGAAAUUCUAGCUAAUACCGCAUACACCCUACGGGGGAAAGCAGGGGAUCUUCGGACCUUGCACUAUUGGAUGAGCCUAUGCCUGAUUAGUUUGUUGGUGGGGUAAUGGCCUACCAAGGCGACGAUCAGUAGCUGGUCUGAGAGGAUGAUCAGCCACACUGGGACUGAGACACGGCCCAGACUCCUACGGGAGGCAGCAGUGGGGAAUAUUGGACAAUGGGGGCAACCCUGAUCCAGCAAU
rnacentral:rRNA from 1 species